CCCUUAGAUGUCCGGGGCCGCACGCGCGCUACACUGAAGGAAUCAGCGUGGCUUUCUCCCUGACCCGAAAGGGUUGGGAAACCCGUUGAAUCUCCUUCGUGAUAGGGAUUGGGGCUUGAAAUUGUUCCCCAUGAACGAGGAAUUCCCAGUAAGCGCGAGUCAUAAGCUCGCGUUGAUUACGUCCCUGCCCUUUGUACACACCGCCCGUCGCUACUACCGAUUGAACGGUUCAGUGAGGGCCUCGGAUUGGUCUCGGCCCGCUCUUUACCGGGCGGCGCCGUUGGUCGAGAAGACGCUCGAACUUGAUCGUUUAGAGGAAGUAAAAGUCGUAACA
rnacentral:rRNA from 1 species